GAUCCUGGCUCAGGACGAACGCUGGCGGCGUGCUUAACACAUGCAAGUCGAACGGAGCACCCUUGACUGAGGUUUCGGCCAAAUGAUAGGAAUGCUUAGUGGCGGACUGGUGAGUAACGCGUGAGGAACCUGCCUUCCAGAGGGGGACAACAGUUGGAAACGACUGCUAAUACCGCAUGACGCAUGACCGGGGCAUCCCGGACAUGCCAAAGAUUUAUCGCUGGAAGAUGGCCUCGCGUCUGAUUAGCUAGAUGGUGGGGUAACGGCCCACCAUGGCGACGAUCAGUAGCCGGACUGAGAGGUUGACCGGCCACAUUGGGACUGAGAUACGGCCCAGACUCCUACGGGAGGCAGCAGUGGGGAAUAUUGGGCAAUGGGCGCAAGCCUGACCCAGCAACGCCGCGUGAAGGAAGAAGGCUUUCGGGUUGUAAACUUCUUUUGUCAGGGAACAGUAGAAGAGGGUACCUGACGAAUAAGCUCCGGCUAACUACGUGCC
rnacentral:rRNA from 1 species